rnacentral:rRNA from 1 species
UACAGAGGGUGCAAGCGUUAAUCGGAAUUACUGGGCGUAAAGGGCGCGUAGGUGGUUGCGUAAGUGGAAUGUGAAAUCCCCGGGCUUAACCUGGGAACUGCAUUUUAGACUGCGUAGCUGGAGUGCGAUAGAGGGUAGUGGAAUUUCCGGUGUAGCGGUGAAAUGCGUAGAUAUCGGAAGGAACACCAGUGGCGAAGGCGGCUACCUGGAUCGACACUGACACUGAGGCGCGAGAGCGUGGGGAGCAAACAGG